rnacentral:rRNA from 1 species
CGACUGAGCGGCGGACGGGUGAGUAACCCCGNGUGGGUAACCUGCCUUACACGAGGGGGAUAACAGUUAGAAAUGACUGCUAAUACCGCAUAAGACCCCGGUACCGCAUGGUACAGAGGUAAAACUGAGGUGGUGUAAGAUGGACCCGCGUCUGAUUAGGUAGUUGGUGAGGUAACGGCUCACCAAGCCGACGAUCAGUAGCCGGCCUGAGAGGGUGGACGGCCACAUUGGGACUGAGACACGGCCCAGACUCCUACGGAAGGCAGCAG